AGCAUAGCGAUUUGGGAUAAGUCCCUUGGAAAAGGGCAGCAUGGAGGGUGAUACUCCCGUCUCUGCCCAGGUUGUCUGUGUGUACGACACGCUUUCUUUGAGUCGAGUUGUUUGGGAAUACAGCUCAAAGUAGGUGGUAAAUUCCAUCUAAAGCUAAAUAUUGGUGCGAGACCGAUAGCGAACAAGUACCGUGAGGGAAAGAUGAAAAGAACUUUGAAAAGAGAGUUAAAGAGUACCUGAAACUGUUGAAAGGGAACCGUAUCGUCUCUAGUGUUUAUCCUUUGCAUAUUUCAUUGACGGCUGCAAAAUUGUGGUGCCCCUGAGUAUAAUUGUGCACGCCAGGAUCACAGUUUAACCUGGCGGGGAGAUGGUCUAGAUGAAGGGAGGUGCGUCACUUCUUGUGAAAGGUUUAUAUCCUCGCUGUCCUAGUAGCCCGUGGUUGAGACUGAGGGUGCC
rnacentral:rRNA from 2 species